AGACACAUCCCUGGAGAGAUUCAUUUAACUAUGAACAUCGACGGAGAAACUUAAGGUGUAAGUGGUAUUACAUAUUAAGGAAACUUUCAGAUAAAAGGACAGGGAAUAGAUA
rnacentral:ncRNA from 2 species